UAUCAGACUCCUACGGGAGGCCGCAGUGGGGAAUAUUGGGCAAUGGGCGCAAGCCUGACCCAGCAACGCCGCGUGAAGGAAGAAGGCUUUCGGGUUGUAAACUUCUUUUGACAGGGAAGAGCAGAAGACGGUACCUGUCGAAUAAGCCACGGCUAACUACGUGCCAGCAGCCGCGGUAAUACGUAGGUGGCAAGCGUUGUCCGGAUUUACUGGGUGUAAAGGGCGUGUAGCCGGGCUUACAAGUCAGAUGUGAAAUCCGGGGGCUCAACCUGUGGCCUGCAUUUGAAACUGUUUUUCUUGAGUACUGGAGAGGCAGACGGAAUUCCUAGCGUAGCGGUGAAAUGCGUAGAUAUUAGGAGGAACACCAGUGGCGAAGGCGGCCUGCUGGACGACAACUGACGGUGAGGCGCGAAAGCGUGGGGAGCAAACAGGAUUAGAUACCCCGGUACUG
rnacentral:rRNA from 1 species